rnacentral:rRNA from 1 species
UUGAUGACGGCUUCCAGGAAAAGCUUCUGGCAAUGCAUAUGCGGCCCGUACCAAAACCGACACAGGUGGGCAGGGAGAGAAUCCCGAGGUGAGCGAGAGAACUGUUGCCAAGGAACUCGGCAAAAUGACUCCGUAAGUUAGCGAGAAGGAGUGCUUAAGCAAUUAAGCCGCAGUGAAGAGGCCCAAGCGACUGUUUAACUAAAACACAGCUCUCUGCGAAGUCGCAAGACGAAGUAUAGGGGGUGACACCUGCCCGGUGCUGGAAGGUUAAGAGGAUCUGUUAAGAGCGAUCUGAAGCAGUGAUCCGAAGCCCCAGUGAACGGCGGCCGUAACAAUAACGGUCCUAAGGUAGCGAAAUUCCUUGUCAGGUAAGUUCUGACCCGCACGAAAGGUGUAACGAUUUGGGCGCUGUCUCGGCAGCAGACUCGGUGAAAUCUUAGUACCUGUGAAAAUGCAGGUUACCCGCAACUAGACGGAAAGACCCCAUGGAGCUUUACUGCAGCCUGAUAUUGAAUUCUGGUCAUACAUGUACAGGAUAGGUGGGAGACAAAGAGACGUGCACGCCAGUGUACGAGGAGUCGACGUUGGGAUACCACUCUUGUGUGACCGGGGUUCUAACCUGGUAUCGAGAACAGGUACGGGGAGAGUGUCAGGUGGGCAGUUUGACUGGGGCGGUCGCCUCCCAAAGAGUAACGGAGGCGCCCAAAGGUACGCUCAGAUUGGAUGGAAACCAAUCGACGAGUGCAAUUGCAGAAGCGUGCUUGACUGUGAGACAGACAGGUCGAACAGGGACGAAAGUCGGGAAUAGUGAUCCGGCGGUGCCGAAUGGAAGGGCCGUCGCUCAACGGAUAAAAGCUACCCUGGGGAUAACAGGCUGAUCUCGCCCAAGAGUUCACAUCGACGGCGAGGUUUGGCACCUCGAUGUCGGCUCAUCGCAUCCUGGAGCUGGAUUCGGUUCCAAGGGUUGGGCUGUCCGCCCAUUAAAGCGGUACGCGAGCUGGGUUCAGAACGUCGUGAGACAGUUCGGUCCCUAUCUGUUGUGGGCGAAGGAGAUCUGCGGAGAGCUGUCCUCAGUACGAGAGGACCGGGAUGGACCUACCGCUGGUGCACCGGUUGUUCCGCCAGGGGCAUAGCCGGGUAGCUAAGUAGGGAAAGGAUAAGCGCUGAAAGCAUCUAAGCACGAAGCCUACUCCAAGAUGAGAUCUCCCAUUCGCAAGAAGUAAGACCCCUUAAAGACGAUAAGGUAGAUAGGUCAGGGAUGGAAGUGCAGUGAUGUACGGAGUUGACUGGUACUAAUCGGUCGAGGACUUAGC